AAUUUUUUUAAAGGGGUGUGGUUUAUACAUGUGGCUUAAAUACAGACUCCCACCUUCAACCUUUUAGUUGUUAUUUAUCCAGAGAGGAAAUGGAAAUGACUUGGAAAAUCAUUUUAAAAGCGUUUGACUUGCUUCCCCUUCCAGACAGGGAGCGGAUUUUCAGUGUCAAAGGAGACUCUUCAGCUGCUGAUUGGAGUUCAAGGAUUAUAACAAUAAACUCUGCUGUGGAAGCGGCGGCCAGUAUGCUGUUCAAGAAACAAUAGCUGAAUUUAAAAAAAAUAUAUGAUUACAUAUAGUUAUAGUUAUAAUUAAAAUAACAGCAUGAAUUAAUUGUUCAAAUUAAUAAUAUCCAAACAAAUUAUUAUUGGAUGGAGAUAAUUAAUUCUAAGCCUAAUGUAGUGACAGAUUGUUUAUAUUAAUGAUUUAUUGACUGAUUUUCCAAUCCAUCAGAGAACUAGCUGGCGCUAGGGGUCAUGUUUGUCCCGAAGAAGCAGUGAUGAAGAGAGGGAACAUUUGUUAUCUGCUUCAGGUGAACAUGAAAAGGAGAAGGUAAUUGUGCAGUUUUCCACAGAUUCAAUUAGUUAAUAAUAAAAAAAAUAAUCUAAUGUUAAAGGUGAAAGAUUCUGAUUUAAUCCUACAUGGGAAUUUAUUUUUCCUCCGUGUUUUAUAGUUUUCGUUGCAGUGUGUAGACGACCCAACACCUUUGGAUGCUAUUGUGUAUUAUGGAGAUAAAGCCUUCCUAAUGCACCAUCAUCCACCUGUGGAAGUUGGAGAAGAUGUCUGAAUAGAGUUUUAUAAUAAAAACACAUAUACAACCUCCUGUUUAACUUUUAUUCAGCAUCACUUCAUCCAUAUGUCAUGUAGUUCUAAGACUGCUUGGUGUGUCUAUGUGGAGUCAGCUGUAAAAAUAUAAAAAAAAAUAAAAAAAUAAAAACA